rnacentral:lncRNA from 1 species
GAUUAAGUUAAACUGGGCCAGUAUGUUUUGAAUAUUCAUUUAUUCAAACAUGUUCUUAGUUUGCUGAGAAAGUCCUGGCAGAGGAGUCUCCUACUUUCCCAAACUCUGAAGGGGCAGUGGUUAAAUACAGGAGGGAAAUUGCUGUAGCACUUCUCAAUGAGACUGGUAUGUUAACCAUUUUGGAACUUCUAUUAACACCAUGAGGAUUUCAAUAUCAUUAAUUCAAUGAAUAUAAAAAAGUCUAGAAAGUUAGUAUGCAUCACUCAUGGUGUAUUUUCCCAUGGAAAUAAGAAGAAAAUAUUAUAUGUAAUCAAUACCUUAUCUUAACCAGAUGAUCUCAGUGAGCUGUGCCACCACUGUGGAGAGGGAGAAGAAGCGCGAGGGGGGUCUCAAGACAGACCUGAUGCCACUGACUGGAUCCAGUGUGACACCUGUGGAAGGUGGUACCACGAGGGUUGUGUUGGGAGACCGGAUAGAGAUCCUAUGUACAGCUGUCCUGCAUGCCACCAGGCUCAAAUGAGUCGAUGCCGUCCAAAACGGUCCAAAAAAAUAA